rnacentral:lncRNA from 10 species
UGGGCUGAGUCCCUCUUGCUCACCCUUGACUUGGAAAAACCAGUUUCUCUUUUAUUGUCUGUUACUAAUCUCUAUUCUAAAAAUUCAGCUCAAUUCUCAACCAUACUCCAAACUCUCUCUUUUCCAGCUACCUUUACUCCCUCUCCUUCAAUUCCACUUUCCUCUGCUUACUUUUUUUUUUUUUCUGACAGGGUCUCACUUUGUCGCCCGGGCAGGAGUGCAGUGGCUCAAUCUUGGGCUCACUGCAGCCUCAACCUCCCAGAGGCGGGGUUUCACCAUGUUGCCCAGACUGGUCUUGAACUCCUGAGCUUAAGCAAUCCACCUGCCUCGGCCUCCCAAAGUGUUGGGAUCACAGGCGUGAGCCACCGCAUCCGGCCUCAUGUUCUUUUUCAUUAAAGAGAGAAAUCAACUAUUCAGGACCGGCCCCCACCUUUCCUCAGGAGUCAUUUCUGUUCCGCACAGGCCUGCUGAACUGGGUGCUUUAUAUAGGACACUGUCAUCUCUCAAGUACCCAUCUUGGAGGGUACGGACCCCACAUGAGGGUGAGGCUCUCUGCACACUCCAGAAAAGGACCAACCACACCGAGCUCAGUUAUGGCACACACAGUGGGACCUAGACAAAGGGAGAGGGUGACCGACAUCCCAACUAGCAGGUGCAAGGACGUGUUGAACUAGCUCUCUGCAGCCUCCUUGGAGGAUGUGAUCCUAUGGGAGGGGUAGGAGUAUUCAGGUCCUUGACAUCUCCCAAAUGUGUGAUUCCGGGAUGCCAAAGGCCUUUGGCCAGAUUUCAGUGGAGUGAAGUUCAGGAGGCAUGGAGCUGACAACCAUGAGGCCUCGGCAGCCACCGCCACCACCGCCGCCGCCACCACCGUAGCAGCAGCAGCAGCAGCAGCAGCAGCAGCAGCAGCAGCAAGAGUAACUCUGACUUAGGAAUAGAGACAGCCAGAGAGAAAUGUGAUCAAUGAAGGAGACAUCUGGAGUGUGCGUGCUUCUUCAGAGGGACGGGUGAUGGGCAGAUUGGAAAAAGCACCGCAGAUGGGAACCUUAAUCUUUCUUUUCUAAAAUUGAUGCUAUGAAAAUUUGCGUUUUCUGUAACUUGUAAAAACUAAAAGUUGCUUGUCUACUGAAAAGCCUCUCUGCCUCUAUGUUUUAUACCAUCGGAUGCCAACUCCCGGCCUUCUAAGCCACCUCCCCUUUAGGCUAAAACUGAGACAUGAACUUGAAAAAUUGACACUGGCUUCCUCUCUCUUUAGGGUCCCCAGGCAGGUGGCUGGGACACUAUUUGCAAUCAGCAAGGAACCCUGCUGCCCUUAGACUCCCCACAGAGCAAGCAGAACUUGCAGAAUGGGGUAAAAACACUCUAUUAAAGAUUUUUUAAACCUAUUUAUAUUGUAAUAAAGUAAAUGUAAAUAAAAUUUAAGUGAAGGCAGAUUGCAGAUAUUUCCGAUGCUAUACAAGAUAUAUCUCAUAGUAUGGGUGUAGAUUCUGCAAAGGUUAAUGCAGUUAAACAUAUUUGACACAUAAAAAUGUCAGAUCCAACAUUAAUCAUUCACCAAUUGUAAUUGCCUUUCUAUGGGUCUCUUCUCCCCAAGACAUAGCUUAAAACACCAGGCUCGGUAGAAAUCUGGGAGGAAAAAAGCAAAUAAUACCUCUCAGCUGUCAGGGUCUAUGAUACGCUUUGAUAGAUUUAGCACUGAUUUCAUUCUCUUUACAAUUCAGUGUGAUUGGGUGUGCGUGUGUGUGUGUGUGUGUGUGUGUGUGUGUGUGUGUGUUACUCCAUGUUUCUCCUUUUUAAGGAAGGAGAAGGUGUGGAACAAGAGAAAGUUCCUAAGUCUGAAGGAAGUCCAACCCAGUUAUGAAGGGAAUGCCAUCCACAAGCCUUUUUUAUAAUUGGCCCCUGCCUCAGGUAAAGGGGUCUCCUUUAAGGAGCCAGUCUGGCUAAAUUGGCAGAUUCUGAACAAAGCCUGGCCCUGACAAGUCUUCAGAAAAACCGGUUUUCACCUCCAGAAUGUGCCCCAG